CCUACGGGUGGCAGCAGUGGGGAAUAUUGGACAAUGGGGGCAACCCUGAUCCAGCCAUGCCGCGUGUGUGAAGAAGGCCCUCGGGUUGUAAAGCACUUUCAGUGAGGAAGAACGCCUGGUGGUUAAUACCCAUCAGAAAAGACAUCACUCACUGAAGAAGCCCCGGCUAACUCCGUGCCAGCAGCCGCGGUAAUACGGAGGGUGCGAGCGUUAAUCGGAAUUACUGGGCGUAAAGCGCGCGUAGGUGGCUUGAUAAGCCGGUUGUGAAAGCCCCGGGCUCAACCUGGGAACGGCAUCCGGAACUGUCAAGCUAGAGUGCAGGAGAGGAAGGUAGAACUCCCGGUGUAGCGGUGAAAUGCGUAGAGAUCGGGAGGAAUACCAGUGGCGAAGGCGGCCUUCUGGACUGACACUGACACUGAGGUGCGAAAGCGUGGGUAGCAAACAGGAUUAGAUACCCUAGUAGUC
rnacentral:rRNA from 1 species